rnacentral:rRNA from 1 species
GAUUUCUGGACUGAAGCAUUUAGCCGGCCGCGGUUUCGCGUGUUAGUGCUGGAUGCUCUGUCCAUCCUUCCAAUCGCUAUUGGCUAUUCUUCAUUGAAUGGUCCGUAGUAUUGGAUCUUUUACUUUGAAAAAAUUAGAGUGUUUAAAGCAGGCUUUUGCUAUGAAUACAUUAGCAUGGAAUAAUAAUCUAGGACUUCGGUUCUAUUUUGUUGGUUUCUAUAACUGAAGUAAUGAUUGAUAGGGAUAGUUGGGGGUGCUAGUAUUGGCCGGCCAGAGGUGAAAUUCUUGGAUUCGGUCAAGACUAACUUAUGCGAAAGCAUU